UUUAACCGAUUUGACAUAAAUCGGGGCGGAAGAGUGACGCGUAGCGCCCAGGCGGCCGCCUAGGCGGUUAGGCGGCCGAUUUUUAGAACAUGGGUCAGAACAUAGAAAUUCGUGUUUUAAUGUCAAGAGAUUUGAUAUCUUUAAUAGAUGUCAACUUCUUCACUUGAGGUCUCCUGUAAAAAAAAAAGGAGAGAGAAUGAAACUGGUAUCUUUGCAACUUGUUUGCCUUCGAGACUUUAGCCUAUCUAAAAAGUAACUCUCUAGAAACAUGUGUGGUUUAUAGUUCAGAACUUUAUAAAAUUUCGUGUAACCCAUUAACUUUUUUGUAGCUUAAAGGUGGUAUGUCGAUUUCAACUUAUUUGGAAGAUUGGUACAAACCCAAAAUCAUAUUCUGUUGCCACAAUCUAACACAAAACUUGAAACUUGAUUGAAGUUUGACCAAAUGAAACAGUAAACAACAUACCAAAAGAAGUUGGAUCGAAAUGUUUUUUCGUCGAGAUCAACCUACCUUGUAGAAGAUAUCGAAAGGGAUGAUGAGAAUGAUCACAGCAGAGAGAUACAAAACAAUCUGGAAAACAUCAGAAA
rnacentral:lncRNA from 1 species